rnacentral:misc_RNA from 1 species
GUUGUCUACCGAGGAAAAUGCAUAACGGAUUUGAAUAGCAACGCGAUUCACGUCAGAGAAGCACCAAUUACAUUGUAUAGUGAGUCAGCCGACGGCGCAGCCGCGCUACGGACGCCAGCAAUUAGGUUUUUUACGAUACAAAUUUCUAAAUUCAAAAGAAACGCGACUAGAAAACGAAACGAAACGAACUCAAACACAUACUCUUUUCGAAAAUUUAACUUCUCGACGAAUUUUUAAUUGUUUAAAACGAUUUUCUUUUCGAACUAAAUUUUAGUGCGGUCGAUUUUUUGUGAUUUUCUUUUUCUGAAGUGAACUUUUUUGUAGUUUGUACUGUUAUAAAGUGCCAGUGUUUUAGUGAGAUGGUGUCGUGAUCGACAUUUGUUUGUUGCAAUGGAAAGAAGUGUUUUGGCAGAUACGAGACACGUACAUUGGGCUUCGGAACUGCACUCUGAAUACCGCAGCACGUACCGAUGGCACGAGUUCAAGCAGCAGCAGCCGGCGCAGGAUGGCGUGGUGCAGCAACCUGCGCGCACGCCGCCUUCCGCACUGCCGCUACAGCGCGGUCCCAUCGAGCCGGCGAUGCCGCGUCGCAAAAAGUACCCCGGAGUGGCGUACAAGGCCAACGAGUUCUUUGACCCGGCGCCUGCUGACGACAUACGGCCGCAGAACACCGACCGGGCGCGGAGCGCUCAAAGGAAUGACAACGACCGCGCUGGCCGACGCAGCAAGUCCGAGGGUCCUCGACAACCACGAUGGACUGACACCGUUGAGCCCAAGGCGACCACAGCCCUGGGCGAGGUGAUGGCGAAGGAACCGGAGCCAGCCAGCACGGAAUACCGCAACCAGUUCGCUUGGCCCAAGGACACUGACGCCGCUCCUAGGAAGAGCAUCUCCAUGGGAGCAUUGAAGAAAGCCGCUGUUGCUGAAGGGUCUACCGAAGCAGAGCCACUGAUGAACCACGUGGACGGAGACCACAAUGAUAGACACAAACCCUACAUUGAAGACUACCUAUGGAACGGGCAGAAACCAGGAGUGCAGAGAAAAUCGACGUUCCGUAGCGCGCUAUCGGCCCUCAUAUCCAACGGGGAGGAUCGUACCAAAGAUAAUAGGAAACGUUUCAAAAGCGAGUACAAAAAGAAAUUUAGACCGUUCUCUCAGUACGUGUACGAGGCGUCUAAAGGGACAUUUACGAAAUGCAGGGGGAAAGGGAAGUCGAAUGAGGAGGCGAAAGAGGCGAGCGAGAGGAUGCUGGACGGGGCGGGGGCGGCGCGCGGGGGGGAGGGAGGUAGGGACGAGGAAGACAGCGCCAGCACGUUGCGCGCGGCAGGGCUGCAGCCGCUCACACGGCCGCAGGGUGACUCCUGGUACCGCGAGGUGCUGGACCUACGCAAGCGCGCCGGCGAGUACAAGUACCGCGGCUGGGGGACGGAGUUAGCCCCCGAGCACAUCACACAGCUUUACAAUAAGCAAAUCGAACUGUGGUACCAAGUAUCUCGGCGGUCCUCGCUCUCGGCCCUUUCACUCGCUUCCACCAAUCACAAAGCACUGCCUCGGGACGAGAAAGACGGGAAGGAAUCCAAGGGCCACUCCCCGAAGAAGUUCAGGUCGUUCCGCUCGGCGCCGCACCAGUCCAUCCAUGCGAAGCUGCAGGAGACCAAGGCGUUGGAACGCUCCCCGCACAAGACUUCGCCCCAGAAGCAGAGGAAGAAGAUGCAUGGACAUAGCUUCGAUGACGGAGCUGCCCAUGAUGGGGCUAAAACCGAGCCGGCGGCGUUCCGAUCCCCCCGACGGCGGCCCCGCUCAGCCGACCCGGCGCCCGCGCCUGCGCACUCCGUCAAACACGUGCCCAACGGACACGAGCCCCACCCGCGCCCCGCCAAGCCUACUGGUUUGCCGUUGAGUAGAGGAGGUAGUAGUAGAGUUAGGUCGACCACGCGGGGAGGGCGAUCGCCAUCUGCGCCGAGCAAAACUGGGACCAUUGGGGCUUCAGGGCCUGGCGCAUUGGCCAAUGGGGCAACGGGUACACCGGGCCGGGGCCGCCGCAGUCGCAGCGUCUCGAAAGUGGGGAUAAAAUUGGAUGACGAGAUCCCGGCCCACCGUAGCGCUUCGGUUGCUAAAGAUCAUUUCUUCGACGAUUCUCCAGUGGUGAAGUCCCCUCCAGAACCGACUCGGGUGAAGUCCCCCGAACAGAUGAACAUGCGGUCACCCGACCCCGUCAACUGGACUGUCCCGCUAGACACCGGGAAGACUUUCACUGUCACCCAAAAUGUGAAAAGCGAUGAGAGCGUUAAGCGCCCUAGCUCUGAGUUUAAGGGUGGCUCCGUGGCAGACGACGGCGUGACUGCGAAGCUGGCAGGUACGACGACCACUGCCACCGCCUAGACCAUCGGCCAUACACGUUUUAAUGAGUGUGACAGACAGACAUGCGUCAGUGAACUCUGUGACACAUCCUAGAGAUCACUGCCACAUACGCACGACACACGACCGACACCAGAAAUAUAUAAUCUGUUUUAUAUUAUAUCUAUUGAAUAGUUCAUGAUUAAAUUGUGUUAAUCCAAUAACUGAGAUGCUUUUAUUUAUUUUGACCGUACUCCGCUGAGGCGUCUACCACAAAUCGCACCGAUUCACCACCAACAAAUGUCUCCGAUUCGCUCACUGAAGAAGAGCGAGUCGCCUACUAGCCUGAGCAAACGCACGGAUAAGACCCCCACCACACCCGUGAGCUUGAC